GACGAACGCUGGCGGCGUGCUUAACACAUGCAAGUCGAACGAUGAAGAAAAGAAUCGAAGCUUCGGCAGAAAUUCAUUUCGGAUUAGUGGCAGACGGGUUAGUAACGCGUGAGCAACCUACCUCUUACAAAGGGAUAGCCUCGGCAAACCGGGAGUAAUACCAUAUAACAUUGCGACGAAGCAUUUCGUUGCAAUCAAAGCUACGGCGGUAAGACAUGGUCGCGCGUUCCAUUAAACGGAUGGCGAGGUAACGUCUCACCAUAGUGACGAUGGGUAAACGGGAUGAGAGGGUGAACGGUCACACCUGAACUGAGCAGCGGUCCAGAAUACUACGGGAGGCAGCAGUGGGGAAUAUUGCAAAAUGGAGGGAACUAUGAUGCAGCGACGCCGCGUGAGUGAUGAAGGAAGUCGGUUCGUAAAACUCGGUUCUAUGGGGAGAAAAGGACGGUACCAUAGGAGAAAGCUCCGGCUAAAUACGUG
rnacentral:rRNA from 1 species